GGAGUUAGCCGGUGCUUCUUCUGUGAGUGAUGUCCUUCCUGCCGGCUAUUAACCCGCAGGCCUUCUUCCUCACUGAAAGUGCUUUACAACCCGAAGGCCUUCUUCACACACGCGGCAUGGCUGGAUCAGGGUUGCCCCCAUUGUCCAAUAUUCCCCACUGCUGCCUCCCGUAGGAGUCUGGGCCGUGUCUCAGUCCCAGUGUGGCUGAUCAUCCUCUCAGACCAGCUACGGAUCGUCGCCUUGGUGAGCCGUUACCUCACCAACCAGCUAAUCCGACAUAGGCUCAUCCGAUAGCGCGAGGCCCGAAGGUCCCCCGCUUUCCCCCGUAGGGCGUAUGCGGUAUUAGCCUGGGUUUCCCCAGGGUUAUCCCCCACUACCGGGCAGAUUCCUAUGCAUUACUCACCCGUCCGCCGCUCGCCACCAGGGAGCAAGCUCCCCGUGCUGCCGCUCGACUUGCNUGUGUAGCUCGCCGCCACGCGUCAUCUGAGCAUGAUACAACUACUCGA
rnacentral:rRNA from 1 species